rnacentral:lncRNA from 13 species
ACUACGGGCUAACUUACAGGCACUUCAAAAAGAAUAACGCACAGUUACAUUUGUUUAAGCAGUUUUUCUAGUGACGUUGAUUUGNNNNNNNNNNAAAUAAUUGUCACAAGAAAACAGCUUAAAACAAAUUGUCGAUACUGUUCAUCUGUUUGACGAGACUAAAUUGGCCAGCUUGCAAACAAGGAAGAAGGGUUUUCUCGGGCCUCACAGCCGUGACAAUAUCCAGCAAACACACGGCUUCUCGGGCAUUUUCAUUUAAAUUAACACUGUGGCUCAACAUGUAAAAAAAAAAGUUGCAUUUAAUUAUUUUUUAAAUAAAAGUUACGAAUGUUUGCAUCGAAAUCCCAGCACAUCUUGGGUUUAUUUCCCUAAAAACAUUUCGGUGUUGCCGUUUUACCUUGAUUACUUUUGUUGCACACGGUACUAUUUGUGCGCUCGGUGUUUGUCCUUGUAUAAACGGAAGAAACACACGUUACCGGUCUUUUUUGGCCCUGGGAUUCAAAUUAAAAUCGCCAUAUUCAACGUCUUCUGUAAACCCAGUUUUGUCCCAUAGUUUCUAAGCAACCGACCCGUUUAUGAAAGAGCUUCAUUGGUCAUGGUUUAAAACCAAUAGAAAAAUCAUAGUCAAACACAUCAUAAACGUCCAUGAUCAGUUUUAAAACAUGCACCAGACAGAGGAAAACAUACACAAUGACAAAAUGGCUCACUGUGUCCACAGCCAAAUACAUACCUGGAAUCACCGCGACUUGUGUAGUAGCUUUUAUUAUAUCCAAAUGUAGAUUAUAUUACCAUAUUCUACACGAUAAUUGUAUAACUUGCUACUCAGUUCGUUCAAUAUGUCGCUAACCUUCAAGCAUGCCUCCACCUCUAUAAUAUUCUUCUUCGAUUAUGUUUAACGGCGGUUGGCAGCCAAUACAUGUUGCAUUAGCGCCACCUACUAGACUGGAGUAUAACUCCCUUAUACGUGGCUUGAAAAUGUAACAUUCAUACAUUUAAAAAAAUACCCUAUCAUCUAACCCUGCACAAAAACCCACCACCUUACCUGGGGCGGCAGGGUAGCCUAGUGGUUAGAGCGUUGGACUAGUAACCGAAAGGUUGUACAAAUAUGUCGUUCUGCCCCUGAACAACCCACUGUUCCUAGGCCGUCAUUGAAAAUAAGAAUUUGUUCUUGGUAAAAAAAAAAUUUAAAAACUCCACUAUUUAAAUCUCUAGUUCUACCUCAGACCAACAGCUUUAACUCUUCUGAUGUCAAGUCUCGUACACCCAAAUACCUCGCUGCCACCACGACCUCAAUAUCCAGCGACGUACGUUCCAUCCCUACAGUACAGUUGAUAACCACUGCUAUAAAUCUAAUCUUAUUGUACCAGUCAAAAGUUUGGACACACCUACUCAUUCAAAGGUUUUUCUUUAUUUGUACUAUUUUCUACAUUGUAGAAUAAUCAAAACUAUGAAAUAACACAUGUGGAAUCAU